rnacentral:lncRNA from 1 species
UCCAAAAGAUAAAAAUUAAGAACACAGUCCCUAAUGCAAUGCUAUGCGGUGGAUUCCAAACCCUAGAUCUAUCUACUUUGAUAAAUUUGAAUUCGUACUCAUAGAUUAAUUUAGUUAAAUCAAGUUAGCAAAUCCUUCUUCUUGAUUUAUUUUUAAAAGAAAAAUAACUUAUUCUUCAAUCCCUGUGGACCGACACCCGCAAUCACUAUCCUACAGGAUACGUGCUAUUGUGUGGUUUAUUUUCAAAAUUGAAAGAACCGAUCAAAGAGGAAGCUUGGACUUGAAUGUUUGACUUCCUUCAGCUGGGAACAAGGGGAGCUGGGAUGUUGGGAAUUAAUCCGGAAGAAGGUUGCUGGGUUCAUGCGGAUGGAAGGGAACGGAUGCAAGGCUGUUCCGCUAAAGAAGGGGAUGAUGUGGAGUUCGGGAGGAUGAAGCUGCUGGGAGAAAAUCUUUGGAUGAUGAUGGAUCACAACGAAAUGUAAGCUAGAUUCAUGGGAUGCUGGGAUUUGGAUUCAUCCCGUGGAUGAACUCUGUUCUGCUGGGAUGCAGGGGAUAAGGAUUAACUUGGAAGGAGUUUGGAAGUGAGACUUCAUAUGUGGUGGAUCCCGGAAUGGAUGCGGCUUUAGCUGGACUGGUUUUGUUCGUGGGACACGGGAGGAUGUGGAAGAGUCUGGAUUUGCUGGGAGGAGAGCUUUGGAUAUUGGGAGAUUUGGGAAUCCGGCUGGGAUCAGUCCGGAAGAUGGGAUAGGUUGGAUAGUUGGGA